rnacentral:tRNA from 1 species
GGAGAAUUGGCAGAGUUGGAAAUGCAGCCGGUUGCUAACCGGUACACCCUCCGGGGUGCGGAGGUUCGAGUCCUUCAUUCUCCGCUA